rnacentral:tRNA from 1 species
GGGGCUGAGGCUCAGUGGUAGAGCGCUUGCCUAGCAUGCAUGAGGCACUGGGUUCGAUCCUCUGCACCA